GAUGAACGCUGGCGGCGUGCCUAAUACAUGCAAGUCGAGCGAACAGAUAAGGAGCUUGCUCCUUUGACGUUAGCGGCGGACGGGUGAGUAACACGUGGAUAACCUACCUAUAAGACUGGGAUAACUUCGGGAAACCGGAGCUAAUACCGGAUAACAUAUUGAACCGCAUGGUUCAAUAAUGAAAGGCGGCUUUGCUGUCACUUAUAGAUGGAUCCGCGCCGUAUUAGCUAGUUGGUAAGGUAACGGCUUACCAAGGCAACGAUACGUAGCCGACCUGAGAGGGUGAUCGGCCACACUGGAACUGAGACACGGUCCAGACUCCUACGGGAGGCAGCAGUAGGGAAUCUUCCGCAAUGGGCGAAAGCCUGACGGAGCAACGCCGCGUGAGUGAUGAAGGUCUUCGGAUCGUAAAACUCUGUUAUCAGGGAAGAACAAAUGUGUAAGUAACUGUGCACAUCUUGACGGUACCUGAUCAGAAAGCCACGGCUAACUACGUG
rnacentral:rRNA from 1 species